UACGUAGGGGGCAAGCGUUGUCCGGAUUUAUUGGGCGUAAAGAGCGUGUAGGCGGCCAGGUAGGUCUGCUGUGAAAACUCGAGGCUUAACCUCGAGCUGUCGGCGGAAACCAUCUGGCUAGAGUCCGGAAGAGGAGAAUGGAAUUCCCGGUGUAGCGGUGAAAUGCGUAGAUAUCGUUUGGAACGCCAAUGGUGAAAACAGGUAGCUGGGGGUGUGCUGACACUGAGACACGAAAGCCAGGGGAGCAAACGGG
rnacentral:rRNA from 1 species